AACUUCGCACGUGCGGUUGGUUCAUAUCGUUGAUUAAAAGGGAAGCAUGUGAGAGUCAUGCACAGUCCCGCUGCUGUAAACGGCGUUGUCGGAGAGCCCGAAGUCACUGGGCAUUUGCCUGGGAAGACGCUCCUACCGGAGCCGUGGAGUCAGAAGACCUGCCAAUUGUCGUCUUGUGUU
rnacentral:ncRNA from 2 species